CCAAUAGCGUAUAUUAAAGUUGUUGCAGUUAAAAAGCUCGUAGUUGAAUUUCGAGACCGGCUUACUGGUCGUGCUAUUGUGCGUACUGGUAUAAUCGGUUUCUCCUUUCUGACGAACUAUAAUGCCAUUAAUUUGGUGUUAUAGGGAAUCAGGACUGUCACUUUGAAAAAAUUAGAGUGUUUAAAGCAGGCUCACGCUUGAAUACAUUAGCAUGGAAUAACGGAAUAGGACGUUUGAUUCUAUUUUGUUGGUUUCUAGGAUCGACGUAAUGAUUAAUAGGGAUAGUUGGGGGCAUUAGUAUUCAAUUGUCAGAGGUGAAAUUCUUGGAUUUAUUGAAGACUAACUACUGCGAAAGCAUUUGCCAAGGAUGUUUUCAUUAAUCAAGAACGAAAGUUAGGGGAUCGAAGACGAUCAGAUACCGUCGUAGUCUUAACCAUAAACUAUGCCGACUAGGGAUCGGAUGAUGUUAAUUUUUUAAUGACUCAUUCGGCGCCUUACG
rnacentral:rRNA from 1 species